rnacentral:rRNA from 1 species
AUUGAACGCUGGCGGCAUGCCUUACACAUGCAAGUCGAACGGUAACAGGUCUUCGGAUGCUGACGAGUGGCGAACGGGUGCGUAAUACAUCGGAACGUGCCCAGACGUGGGGGAUAACGAGGCGAAAGCUUUGCUAAUACCGCAUACGAUCUAAGGAUGAAAGCAGGGGACCGCAAGGCCUUGUGCGUUUGGAGCGGCCGAUGGCAGAUUAGGUAGUUGGUGGGAUAAAAGCUUACCAAGCCGACGAUCUGUAGCUGGUCUGAGAGGACGACCAGCCACACUGGGACUGAGACACGGCCCAGACUCCUACGGGAGGCAGCAGUGGGGAAUUUUGGACAAUGGGCGAAAGCCUGAUCCAGCAAUGCCGCGUGCAGGAUGAAGGCCUUCGGGUUGUAAAAUGCUUUUGUACGGAACGAAAAGGCUCUGGCUAAUACCUGGGGCACAUGACGGUACCGUAAGAAUAAGCACCGGCUAACUACGUG